rnacentral:rRNA from 1 species
AGUGAACGCUGGCGGUAGGCCUAACACAUGCAAGUCGAACGGCAGCACAGUAAGAGCUUGCUCUUACGGGUGGCGAGUGGCGGACGGGUGAGGAAUACAUCGGAAUCUACUUUUUCGUGGGGGAUAACGGAGGGAAACUUACGCUAAUACCGCAUACGACCUACGGGUGAAAGCAGGGGAUCUUCGGACCUUGCGCGAUUGAAUGAGCCGAUGUCGGAUUAGCUAGUUGGCGGGGUAAAGGCCCACCAAGGCGACGAUCCGUAGCUGGUCUGAGAGGAUGAUCAGCCACACUGGAACUGAGACGCGGUCCAGACUCCUACGGGAGGCAGCAGUGGGGAAUCUUGGACAAUGGGCGCAAGCCUGAUCCAGCCAUACCGCGUGGGUGAAGAAGGCCUUCGGGUUGUAAAGCCCUUUUGUUGGGAAAGAAAAGCAGCAGGUUAAUACCCCGCUGUUCUGACGGUACCCAAAGAAUAAGCACCGGCUAACUUCGUG